rnacentral:lncRNA from 1 species
UCUCUUUCAUACAUUCAUCUUCUCCAACUACAAGUCCAUUUCCAAGCUUGAAGAUCAUUCGUAGAAGUUGCAAGUUGAAGGGCUCUCAAGAAAGCUUUGUUCAAGUCUUUAUCACCAUCUUUUCUCUUCAUCUUUGCACUAGAUUCAUCCCUAGCGUUAAGCUAGUAGUAGUCGUGUUUGCUGAGGAGAUUUGGGUUACAAGUACCGAAGACGCAAUACAACAUUUAUUUACAUGGAAAUUAGUAAAUGGAUCUGGCGGGCGUUGGAGUUUUUAAGCUGCAUUGUGAAUAAAGAUGUCAUCCAAGUCAUUAGGGCUUAG